GACUGACUAUGACUCAGGUGGCCAGG
rnacentral:piRNA from 1 species